GGUAGGGUGGCCGAGGAUUAAGGCAAUGGGCUGUAGUCCCACUUACGGGGGGUGCAAGUCCCUCCUCUAUCA
rnacentral:tRNA from 1 species